rnacentral:rRNA from 1 species
AUUGAACGCUGGCGGCAUGCCUUACACAUGCAAGUCGAACGGCAGCACGGGUGCUUGCACCUGGUGGCGAGUGGCGAACGGGUGAGUAAUACAUCGGAACGUACCUUAUCGUGGGGGAUAACGCAGCGAAAGCUGUGCUAAUACCGCAUACGCCCUGAGGGGGAAAGCGGGGGAUCGAAAGACCUCGCGCGAUUAGAGCGGCCGAUGCCUGAUUAGCUUGUUGGUGGGGUAAAAGCCCACCAAGGCGACGAUCAGUAGCUGGUCUGAGAGGACGAUCAGCCACACUGGGACUGAGACACGGCCCAGACUCCUACGGGAGGCAGCAGUGGGGAAUUUUGGACAAUGGGCGAAAGCCUGAUCCAGCCAUUCCGCGUGAGUGAAGAAGGCCUU